GAGUUCUUCUUGAGCUGGCUGGGUUUCGCUAGCCAGCCGGCGAGUAACGACGACGUGAUCCGUCGUGACCGGGCACGAGGUUUCCUCAGUGGCCCCUUUUGUUCCCCACUCAGUUCUCCGCUUUUUCAGGCCGUCGCGGCUGGCCUGAGCGGUGACCUGGCGGGCCGCGCCUGCGCUCUGCCCCGUUUCCUGCCUGGCUGGUGGCGGCGGCCAUUUUGUUCAUCCUCCUCCUCCUCCAGCUCCUCCUGGUUGGAGCGCAGUGUCCGGAGCGGGCUGGGGGGAGAGAGCCCGAGAGCAGGGUUCGGUGCCUUUUCCUCUGUCCCCAGCCGGUGCCCGGAGCCCCCCUCCCCUUCCUCCCCACCCCCUCCCUUCCCCAGCCCUGCCCUCCCCCUUGUCCCGGGAUCGCUCCGUCGCACCCACCAUGAUGGAAGACGACGGGCAGCCCCGGACUCUAUACGUAGGUAACCUCUCCAGAGAUGUAACAGAAGUUCUUAUUCUUCAGUUAUUCAGUCAGAUUGGACCCUGUAAAAGCUGUAAAAUGAUAACAGAGUCAUGGGAUACAGUUUAUGAAGGAUUAUGAUGCAUAAGUAGAAUUCAUCCCUUUGAAAAUAAUGUUGGGAGAGAAGAGCAGUGCAACCCGAUAGCAGAAGGGUCAACUCUUCUGUUGGAUUUUCUGUUUUGCAGCAUACAAGCAAUGACCCAUAUUGCUUUGUGGAAUUUUAUGAACACAGAGAUGCAGCUGCUGCAUUAGCUGCUAUGAAUGGGAGAAAAAUUUUGGGAAAGGAGGUCAAAGUAAACUGGGCAACAACACCAAGUAGCCAGAAAAAAGAUACUUCCAAUCAUUUCCACGUGUUUGUUGGGGAUUUGAGUCCAGAAAUUACAACAGAAGAUAUCAAAUCAGCAUUUGCCCCCUUUGGUAAAAUAUCGUAAGUAUCAUAAUCAAUACUAUACCCAGUAGUGAUAGGCAAGAUUGUAUAUGAUUAACUUGUAUCAGAACUAAGAUUUUCUUUCCCUAGUUAGUGUGAUUUUUUUGUUUGUUUGUUUGGUUUGUUUUUUUGAUCAGUAGGUGUUGUUGAAAAUGUUAAUGUCAUUUCAGUGUUUUGGGGUCUUGUUUUCAUCUAAUCCUGUGUAUAACAUGUUAAAAAUUUUUAAGUAAUUCUGUUUGUUAUCUUUAAAGCAGAUGGUUGGGUGAUAAAACCUAUUAUAAAAUCUAGCUUUUUGUCAAAUGUUUUCAGAUUUUGGUGGUUAAAGAAAUGGGUUAAACAAAAAUAAAUGUGAUUUAUACUGUGUAUUAAACUUUUAUAGGAGUUUAUAAGUGGGGGAAGUAGGUAAAUUUUGGGGUGUGCUGUGGUGAAAUUAGAAAUGUAUAUGUUUAAUUAUAAUGAUAAAUGUGUUUUGAUAUUUUAGCUGAAAAAUAGCACUAUUACAGUAUUGAAAUGUUUUAAUGUCUGAGCCAUAAAUGUGGGAUUAAUCAGUAGAUUUUUUUUUUUUUUUUUUUUUUGUUAGUGGUAUUUGAUUCUGCUUGUUAGGGCCCAAUUGUGAUUUGAUUUUUUUUUAAACAAAGUUUAUGAUCAGAUUUCACUGUGUUACUUUAUCAACUAUAUUGGGAAAUUAAAAGUGGUUACAAGUUGAUAAAAUGUUUGUCAUAGUUUAUCUUUCUGAUUAAAAUCACUUUAUUUCCUGUGGAUUUAAAUUUAAUGUUUUAGUACUACUUUACAGAAAUGCUUCAACUAAGAACAACAAUACAUUUCUCUCUAUAAUUUGUUGUUCUAUAGAGUUUAUUGAUAGAUUUAAUUCUUAAUUUUCUAUUCUGAUAUUUGCUUUGCUUUUUAAUUUCUAAAUGUGGUAAGUAGUACUGUUUUAAAAAUCAAUAUAAAAAAUAAUAAAGGUUGCUGUUUUUCAAUCUUUAUUUAUACCUGAGACCUGCAGUUUUUCUGAAGUCCAAGUCACAAUUAAAAGUAAUAGCAUUCUGGUUAUUUUGCAGAAUUGCUCAUAAGAAUGGACAGGAUCUUGAAGGCUAACUGCAAGGAACUGUGCACACUGGAACUCAGUUGUAGAUUUUUUUCUCAUUUCUAUUUAUUCUUAUUAUACAUUAUUUAUAUAUACAUAUUUUAGUAUUUACAUUUUAACAUUCUAUAUUCAGUGGAGUUCUAUAUUUCCAAUCAUUUUAACUUACUCACUAAAAUUUCUGUGUAAAUUUGUUGUUUUCGUACUGGUGUGCUUAGCAUUGUUGUUAGUUUUUUAUUCUCCUUUCUUAAAUUUCUGAAAAUGUCAAUUUUUCAAAAUUUACAGCUGCCCAAACUCCAAAAUGAUGGUAGAGAAUUGACCAAGAAAAAUAAAGAAAUCUGUUAACAGGCCAUGGAUGCCCGAGUAGUUAAAGAUAUGGCAACUGGAAAAUCUAAAGGCUAUGGCUUUGUAUCUUUUUAUAACAAACUGGAUGCAGAAAAUGCAAUUGUGCAUAUGGGAGGUCAGUGGUUGGGUGGUCGUCAAAUCAGAACCAAUUGGGCCACACGUAAACCACCUGCACCUAAAAGUACACAAGAAAAUAACACUAAGCAGUUGAGAUUUGAAGAUGUAGUAAACCAGUCAAGUCCAAAAAAUUGUACUGUGUACUGUGGAGGAAUUGCUUCUGGGUUAACAGAUCAGCUUAUGAGACAGACAUUCUCACCAUUUGGGCAAAUUAUGGAAAUCAGAGUUUUUCCGGAGAAGGGCUAUUCAUUUGUCAGAUUUUCCACCCACGAAAGUGCAGCCCAUGCCAUUGUCUCAGUGAAUGGUACUACGAUCGAAGGACAUGUUGUUAAAUGCUAUUGGGGUAAAGAAUCUCCUGAUAUGACUAAAAACUUCCAACAGGUAAUUCGAUUUUUCAUAGCACUUUUUAAGGUUUCCAUCUUACAUAUCUACAUAAAAGCUUUAGAAACACCAUUUAAAAGAAAACAAAGUGAAAAACAACAACAAAAAAGCAUUUAGCUGCUUUCAGUUGAUUUUGUUAAUGCUAUUUCAAAAGUGAUUAUUUUGUGGUAUUAACUGAAUCUUAAUACUUUCUUUUCACAGGUGUCACCACCCCAAUAAACUUAGACAAUGAUAAAUAACAGAGUCCUAUUCACAUAAGGGUGCUUACUUAGUUUUUCUCUUCCUUGUCUCCCACUUUCUUCAAAUACUGUGUUUUCUUUCUUGUUCCCUAAAACAGUAAUUUGCUUUUUCCUAGGUCGACUAUAGUCAGUGGGGCCAGUGGAGCCAAGUUUAUGGAAAUCCACAACAGUAUGGACAGUAUAUGGCAAAUGGGUGGCAAGUACCACCUUACGGAGUAUACGGGCAGCCAUGGAAUCAACAAGGAUUUGGAGUAGAUCAAUCACCUUCAGCUGCUUGGAUGGGUGGAUUUGGUGCUCAGCCUCCCCAAGGACAAGCCCCUCCCCCUGUAAUACCUCCUCCCAACCAGGCUGGAUAUGGCAUGGCCAGUUACCAAACACAGUGAGCUGGGACUCUAAACAAAAUGUAAUUCAUGAUAGCUUCAGUUUCCUUGUGACAUUCUGAAGACAUGAAAGUAGACAUCGGAAAAUGAAAAUAUUUAUUUUAAAAAUUGAAAUGUUUGGAACCUUUAGCACAGCUUUGCUUUGGUGAAGGACACAUGUCUUCUAGUUCUGCCUUUUUAAGUUUUUGUUCAUGAUGGAUAUGAACAUGAUUUUUCUUUGUGUACAAAAACUAAAAUAAAGUCAAUAAAGACAAUUCUGACUACAAAUUUUGAUAUAAUAGGAGAAAUGGGUAAUACAUUUUGAUUCUUAGAUACUAUUCCAUUUUUAUCUUGCUGUUCAGUAUUUUAACUCACUGUGUUUUUAAAAGAGCAAAAAAGGGAGGAUUGUGAAAAACUGGGAAUAACAUAUGAGUUCAUCCUGAACCUUGAUAUUCCCUUCCCCUCCUCUGAGGUGGACCACAUUCGAAGUCAGCAGAAAAAAGUGUGACAUUGAGAAGAGAUGCAUGAUUUUGAAGUCGCUUUGGAGGAAGUACUUUCUCUGUGCCUAAAGAAACCGAAGCCAGACUGACAAAAGAAAUUUGCCAUCUAAAUAAGGGACAGCAUUGUUUCAGUUACUUGAGCAAAUGUUGGUGGUCCACAUUAAGACAUAUUUUUAAAACUUUAAAAAGUGUUGAUUAUUAAAGCUGUAGUGAAUUACAUUUCAUUUUGGGGGGAAAAUUCAAAGUAUGGUGUUUAUAUUAAAGUCAGUCAUACUUAUGCUUUUACAUGAAGUUUAAAUGAUAUACAUUGUAAAUAAUUGAAUACAGUGUUUAAAAAGCAUGCUUCAACAUAGAAGUAGCAGUAAUGUAAUUAUUUGAAGUAACACUUAACACACUCCACUGCAUUGAAUGCAAUGGAUGAAUAAGAAUGUUUAAGACUGACAUUUCCAAGGUUGGCUACUAUGUAAAAUUAAAAUUAUACAAAUUACUAUACAGAAAAAGCCUUAACUUUAAUUUCAUAUAAAUCUUUGAUUCAUUAGUACAUUUUAAAAUGUCAUUGAAAAUUAGAUUUUUUUUUCUUUUUUUGCUUUACAUCAGUUGGUAUGUAAAUACCUGGAUUAAAACCUUGUAAACCUAUUUCAAGGUUCCUAUAAGUUGUAAAGUACAACUGUUUUUUAAAAAAUCUUGGGGUGUUUUUUAAAAUUAGAUAUAUUUUGCCCAAGAAUUUUUUUAACAAAAUUGCUUAAAAAAAUCUUAGACACUUUGAUGUACCAAUUUAUAAUUGGAUACUCAAUUUACUAGUACACAGAGUUGUGACUUUUAUUUUUAAUUAAUUUUUUUCCUUGUGGGUAGUGUGCAUGGGAUGAUAAGCCUGAACAGAGGCUGAGUUGUAUGUGUGCAGAGUUAGUAAACGAAUUGAUUGGGUAGGUGUAUAUGAUUGAUGUUUGCUUUUGAGGUAUUUUUCAGGCCAUGUGGAUAAAAUCUGUCUCAAAUUUCUAUCGUAACAGGAAUGUAAAAGAGAUGAAAUCCUAUGUAUUUGAAUUCUGACAGCUAGGGGGUGCAAAUGUUUAGGCAGUGUAUUUGAAAUGUUUUGAGGCCUGAACACCAAAAUGAGAAAACUCUACAGUUAAGUAAUAAGAUGCAAAUAGCACCCACAAAAUACUAUUUUUUAAAUGUUUGAAGCUACAAUUUGCUUUAAAAUGAUGGUUUUAUAAAUUGGUGACCACAAUAAUUUUGGUAUUUUCCUUCUUCCCCCAUUUAGAAAUGUAUUAAACAUAAAAUUUUACAGGGUCUGAAGUUACUCAUUUUCAGGCCAAAUUUUUUAUGGCACUUUAGUUUUAACCACAGUACUCAUCUAUUAUUACACUCUUAUUUUAAAAUUUACCCUUAGUUUUUUUUGUUCAUGGUUAGCAUCUUUGGGGGAUGUUAUGGAAAAGUUACUUUAUAUUUUAUAAGGAGAACAUUCAAAUUAUAUCAGUUAUGCCUCCUAGUUAAACAUUUCUUAAACAUAUGGGAAACUUGAAUUAAAGAUUUUUUUUAAUAUAUAUUGAUAAAAGCCUAUUAAACUCUCAGUUUGCCUUUUUUGGUCUACCAGUAAAUUAAGUAGCUUAUUGCAGUACCAGCUAAAUAUAGCUUCAGUGUUUCCUGAUUGUAUGUUCUACAGUUUAAUAAAAUGACCCAGACCAGUAAUACUGCAUAGUAAACAUGACUGAAGUGUCCUUCAUCUUAAUCCGAAAGACCGAGACUACAUGCUCAGUUCAGGUGAUGGGAGUUUUUCAUAUUAAAUGGUUUUUAAAAUAUAAAGCUACUUAUCCAAAUGAAAUGCACCACUUUAAAAUACAACUGUCAAGCUAACGCAGACUGAAGACCAUAAUACAAACUGAAGUCAGUGCUAUCUUGAUCCAGUUUAAGCCUAAGAAUCGUUGCCUUUUCCAUGUUCCUUAAAAACAGCAGCAGAGAUUCUUUGGCAUGCAAGAAAAUGUUUAUUUCAUAAUCAUUUUCUGAUCUGAUUUAUAUUUGGUGAUGUGUUUCUGACUGCCAUCUCCCUUGCUCUAAUCUCUCUACUAGUAUUUCCCCUCCCAUGCCAUGACCACUUGAUUUUUAUGCCUGCUGGCAGUGAGAGGCUGAAAUGACUGGCCAACUUAAGCCAAAGCUGUAAACCACAGUUGAAGUAAGUCUUUCAAUAAAGACGAGACUAUAUAAGUGGCUUUUUCUUAUUGUCGUUUAUUACAUAAUUAUUCCUUCCAGGCUGCAAUUCCAUUUUAAGUUAUUAAUAAGGUAUGUAGAGUGUUUAUAUAUAUCCAGGACCUAUAUCUGUCUUUCGUGUAAGUGAUAAAAUCUGUUUACUUUGUUGGAUUAAAUUUAAUUUCUGGAUAUGGAGUAGAGAUUUGCAUCCUUCUAAAGACGUAUGCUCUGUUGAAUAUUAAUAUAGUAAGAGCUCAUUAGAGUCCACAAAUAAUAGGAACCAUCAUUUUACCAUUUCUAGAUUGAUCUUUGGUAGUACUUGUGAGUAAAGAUUGCAUUCAACAGACAAAGUAGAAAAAUUUAAUAUGUAGACAGACACUCUCUAGCAGGUAUACCCAAAUUUAAAUCUUAUCUAUUUAUUGAAAGUUAGCGUUUGGGCUUCCAUUUAAUAUGAUGUAAACAUUGAAUUUGCACUUUUAGUAUGUGUUAGAAAGAUGCAAAAAUUAUUUAGACUUUUAGUAUUAUGUAAGUUUCUCAAGAGGUCCAAAAGACCGGGUUUUGUUAAAUAUGAAUUCUGCUGCAUGUAAUGGUCAUCUGCUAAUGUCCAGUGUUGUUCAGGUGUAUCACAGUAAAUUAUGUUUCCGUCUAUUGCAUUUUUAAACUAGGAAGUGUCAGUAAUUACGACAUUUUAAAAAGGUGUUAUUCUAAACUGUAGUCUAAUAUGGUAUGCAAAUGCCAUGUUAGUAUGAAAAAUGGGCUUGUGCCUAUGUAAAUUGGGUCUGUUUUGGGGAAGAGGGAGGUCUGUUUUUUUGAAUUAGUGCAGAUACACUAGAAACUGUGAUUCACAAGGUACUCUGUGUAAGUACCUCUUUUAGGGACAAGAAAAACUUGAUUUUCGAAUUGCUCCAAUGUGAAAAGUUCAUUUUAUAUCUAGGAAAUAGACAAAGGGGAAAUUAAAUAUAUUUUUUUAUCUUAGGCAAAAAAGUGGGGGAGUAGGGGGUUUUAAUACUCAUUGAUCCUUUUGUUGAAGUAGGCUUUUGUCCUAGGGAAAAGAAUAUUAAUCUGUAUAACAUUCAUAGUUUGUUUUUUAAAUAAUGUGGCUUAGAGUAACAGCUGACAAUAAGUGUGUAUUCAAUAAGUUAUUUCCUUAGUGUUCCAACUCAGUUGUAAUACAUAUUGCUACAUUUGCAUUUUUCUAGAUUGUUGCUCUUUUCAAAAUUCAGUAACCACUGUUCCUCUGAGAUACUCCUCUGGGAAAAUGACCCGUGUCUAAUAUUUUGAAGUUGUCUGAGGUAAACCAGGUUUUGCUAUGUAUAAAACCAGCAGGUAUAACUUGUCCAACUGUGAUUUUUCUUUUUUCUUGUUCCUGUAUCUUUCUUCCUUGGGUUUUGGUAUACCAAUGAAGAGAAGUCCGAAACCGUCUGGACAAAAUGGGCAUGAAAUAUGUAGCCAUAUGUAACUGCCUGUUCUGAGAAUGGACUAUUUUGCAUAAAUUUCAGAUUCUCACAGUUGAUUUUACUGGUUAAGAGUUGUGAGUUGAAUUGUUCUAUAUAUAGGUGGUUUAUGUGAUUGCUUUUGCUCACAAAAAUAAAGCUAACUCAUAAGACUUAAUGUAGCUAAACAAAUGGAUUUAAUAAUCUUAGCUUCUUUUUGAAAAGAACUAAACUGGGAAAAACAUUUGUUAACUCAUUUCCUUUGGCUAUGUUAUAUUUCAGCACGUGGCCCAGCUCCUACUUGUUGAUAUGUUUAAUGAGAUUGGGAAAGGAGUGGUGGCUAGGUUAAUGAAGAAGGGAGAAGUCCUUGAUUCUGAAGAGCAUUGACAGGGGAAUAACAGUCCUGGGCAGAUGUAGUAAACCAUGCAGGAUAGUCAGGGUUUGGAUGCUGAUAAUUACUAUAUUAGCUUAAGCUAUGCACAUUUAUCAAGAAGACUGGGAGACUUAACGGGUGAUUGGAAAUAAAAUAUUACCAAUAUCUUUGUCU